GGCAGAAAUAGUUUCCCAACAAGUUUUAUUUUCUUAAGGGCUGUCAUGAAGUCACCCAACCUUCUCCUUAAAUUCAAACAGAGCUUAAGGUUUUUCCACAAGUGAAAGAUGUUAAAUUUUUAGACUCUCAUGAUGAUGUUCUUCUACCGUUUUUUCUAUAUCCAUUAAAAAGUGUAGGACAACAGCAGAGUAUCGUAUAAAGGAAUGAACAACUCAUUUAAAAACAUGUGUUCUGUCCUGAAACUCUAAAUAUUCUGUUUGCUGUAUCCUUGUGUCACGUUGGCUUCUUCUCCAUCACUGGGGCAGCAAGUUAAGUCAAGUUGAACACGCCUGCCUCCCGAAGUCCUCCUCUAUUUCUUGGUUGCUUUUUGCAUGUUGUUCAUCAAAAUGUUGUUCACAUGUUUGAUGAGGAUGCUUUUAACGUCACUAAACGACAUAGGUCAUAUUUCUCACUCGUGGAUCUCAUUCUAGUACCACAAGAGCUCUUUCUGAGUUGUCAGAAUGAUUAAAAUAGUUCAGGUAUACUUCCCGGAAUACAUGUCGUGCUCAUUCUUUUGGAAAGAUUUCUAAACGUGACGCUACUUUUUACGUUCCCUCAGUUCCCCUACAUAUUGAACAGACUGGGAUCCAGGGCAGUUUUCAUGGAACGUUGCUCGAUAGAUCUCUUUGACUUGUCCUCAUGCCCUGAAAAACGAUGCCCCGAACCCUCUCCUGACCUUCUCAGCAUCCGAUGCCAACUGGGUCUUGUGAGCCUGAGACUUGGCAGGCCCGCUGUGGCAUCGGCCUCUUCAGGUUAGCUGCUGGACUUGCCUGAGUUAAGGCUGCAACUGGUGUGAGCACGUGCGGCCCAGCGUUCCCGUCACACUGCAGGAUGGAGGUCCAGAUCAGCCACUUUUGGAAGCUCAUCUGCUCCCCGUCCCACGCUGUCCUCCAACUAUGCUGUGGAAUGAUAUCGGCGUGAGAGCCACCAAAGGCUUUAAAGAAAUCUGCUUUCUGGUGUUUGUGGGACCUGACAUUCGGUAAUAUUACUGUCCAUAAGCAAAAAGUAAAAAACUUGAAGAAGGGGACGUUCAGUAAUUUACUUGGCCAAAUUAAAAAUAGAAAAAAAUACGACAAACGCUUCUUCUUUAUAAGAGCAAGUAAGUGAUUGCUUUGCGUUUUGGAACAGUAGGAGACACCUAUUUGUCUUUAUCCUGCAUUUGUCCCGUUUACUGUGCUCUUUUUCUCUCUCUGUGACCUGGCUUUGCUUCUAGAGCGCUCCCUUGUCCUACUAACCCAGCUCCAUGCACGUCCAAUAGCAGAAGUGCCGGCUGGGCUCUUCCAGAGAAUCCCUGAAAUGCUUAUGGUGUCAGGACGUCAGGCACAGUCUGGAGGCAAGAGCGACCCAGAUCUGAGAAUGGGUAGCUGCUUUCCCACCUCAUUAGUCGG
rnacentral:lncRNA from 1 species